AGCUUAUCAAUAAUAUAAAUGUUAAAUUCAUGCUUAAAUUAUGUUUUUCUUUAAUUUCUCAGUAAGCUGUUCUAGAAUUAGCUCCAUAAUUGUGCACAUCGCCACUUCUUCCCAAAUAUGUGCCCUUUGCCAGCUUCACUGCGGUCUUCUACCUCCACCCCCCCAUCCCCCCAGUCUUCCACUAGCAAACAAACCCAGCGGUAAUUACUAAUGUCCAAGCACGUAAUUCUGGCAGCGUUAGGCUUUUUCAUUUGACGCAACUAGGCAGAGCUGUCUGGACAUGCAGCAUGAAGUCAAAGCAUUUUAAAAGCCUCCUACCCUUUUUUUCUCCCCUCCUCCCAUCACUAAAACACAGUUGUUUAUUUCGUUUGCGGAUUGCAGAGUUAAAAAAUUCCUCCACGCAGUUACAUACCCCUGAAAAUUAAUUUUACAUCCAUAUAUAGUAAUAGAUCAACAUAUAUUUAUGUGGAAACACAUGGUUAUUUAUAAAAUUGAAAAACACUAGGAAAUAAAUAGCUGGGAAUGAAAAUAUCUUAUCUAUAUGGAUGGGGCAUUUUAGCAGCUCUAGUAUAGAAAUAAUCAGAGUUAUGACGAACAAAAACAAUCCAAGAUCUUAUUGUGAGGCUUUUCAAAGGAUCAUGACAGCGUUUCUUUAAUGCGUUGCAUAUAUUCUUACAUAUGACGCUGUUACUCUUACUUAACAACUAUUCAAAUAGCACAGUUUUGCUCCUGGUCAUUUUAUGCCUAUUUUAUUUAUAUCAAACAGCAGGAAACAUCCCUGUGGUAAUUUGUGUUCACUCAGAGGCCCCAAGCCUCAGAGUAGAAAAUGGUUAAAGUACUUAUCACUGCCUCAGCAAAAUCCCGCAGUGCCAUAAUAGAAAUUGCAGUAGAUCUUUAGGUCAGAGUCCAGUUUCAAUCUAACACCUGCAUUACCCUGAAGGACAAAGUUGCAUUUUCCUGAGGAAAACCAGUCUUAAUGAUGUCAAAAUCAAAAACUAUCAGCCUGAGAUAACCAAUGUCCAUAGGAAACACUUCCACUCACUCUGAAACCAUGGCCAAGGAGAUUAAAUCUACACUCUACAGGACCAAUAAUAUUUCUCAGAGAUGUAUUUGUGUGAGUGUGUGCUUAUGUUUAUGCCUAAUUACAAGGAUGGGGGAGAAGGAAGAGGUAGUGGGUUUCAUUUUUAAAGUUGAUUCUGCUUAAAGUUGAUUCUACCCCCAUAUAUUUUCUUUAUCAAAUAGAAAUAUAUAUAGAAAUAUAUCACUUUUGUAAACAGAUCAUGUUGGCAUCUUCAUAUAUACCUCAUUCAUGUGCACCCGCGGUCUGUAGACAAAUAUACUCUGUGUUAAAAACAAAAACAAACAAAACCCUUGAUAUCCGACUGGAGGAUGAAUGCAGAUUUUUUUUUAAUUUGUUUAUUUCCUACCUAAAAAAGGGGUAGAAGGUAACAUGAAAUUUUCCACAAGUAGACUUAUUUUUUUGAAGCUAUGCAGGAGCUGAGGAUGGGAGCAGGUAACUACCUGCAAAGGAGUCCUGUGGGAAGGAUUUUUCCCCCCUUUUUAAAAAAUUUUAACCUACUAUGCGUGCUCUAUGAGGGAGUCUCUGUGAGACCAGGGUCUCAGAGAGGCAAUUUGGCCUCCAGCCCUGAAUACCCAGCUCUGGCCAGGCAUCUCUGCGGCAGGUAGAUGCGGCGCUGCUGCCGACCGCUGUCCGCGGUGCUGAAAGGUCGCGGGCGCCUGUGCGGUCCCUCGGUAUUGCUGUCCAGGGUGCUGACUGCGGGCCGCCGCAGUCCCCGAGGCGAGCCCACCCCCGCCAGCCCUCCGCAGAGCCCUCCCACACAGCACGACCCGCCCGCCUCCCGCCAGCCUGCAGUUGACGUGGAGCAGGCGGCAUAAAUCAAGUCCGCGGGGCAUGGAGGCUGCUGCCGCUGCUGCAGCUCAGCUAGCCCGGGGCGGGAACUCCCCCUUCUCCUUUCGCCUCCCCAGCUCCCACAACCUGCCCUCUCCUUAAUUCUUCCCUGGAUAAUAGCGCCUUAACGACAAUAGUCAAACUAACAGGGUCAGAACGGCAGGGUUUGUUUGUUUUGGUCUACAGAAAAAAAAAAAAAAAAAAAAAAAAAAAAAAAACAACCCAGCAGCCUAAAGACCUCUGAAAACUGCAUCGCAAGAUGGAAGAGAGAGAGUCCCACUACUGUUUCGAAAGAGUAAGUUAUUAUUCGAAACCAUGGAAGCCAAAUGCAGGGGACACUAGCACCAUAAAAUGAAUGAAGCUGAGUGCUUGAAACACUGCUAGGAGGAGACACCAGGAACACCUCAUGAAUCUAAUUGGAGCAUUAUAAAGAAGAUUGAAUCUGGAUUCAAAUGCAGUUUCUUACAUAAGCCUGUGGCCAACAGGUGACCAAGGAUGCUGAGACAUUACCUGGGCCAGGAACAAUGUCCAGUGAGGCAUACAUCAAUCCCUGGAAAAUAGGAUGUUAAUGACCAAGACUAUGCAAGAAGCAAAACAGUUUGACAAGUGAGAGGACAACUAAGGGAUGUGCAAG